rnacentral:rRNA from 1 species
UACGUAGGGUGCAAGCGUUGUCCGGAAUUAUUGGGCGUAAAGAGCUCGUAGGCGGUCUGUCGCGUCGGCUGUGAAAACCCGGGGCUCAACUCCGGGCCUGCAGUCGAUACGGGCAGACUAGAGUUCGGCAGGGGAGACUGGAAUUCCUGGUGUAGCGGUGAAAUGCGCAGAUAUCAGGAGGAACACCGGUGGCGAAGGCGGGUCUCUGGGCCGAUACUGACGCUGAGGAGCGAAAGCGUGGGGAGCGAACAGG